rnacentral:rRNA from 1 species
CGUAGCUUAUGUGCUUUCUGGUGGGGAAUAACCGUGGGAAACCAUGGCUAAUACCGCAUAUCGUGCUUCGGCAUGAAAGCCUCUGGGCAACCAGCGGCGCCAGUCGAGCAGCCUGCGUCCCAUUAUUUAGUCCUAGUUGGUAGGGUAAUGGCCUACCAAGGGUACGAUGGGUAGCUGGUCUGAGAGGAUGAUCAGCCACACUGGAACUGAGACACGGUCCAGACUCCUACGGGAGGCAGCAGUGGGGAAUAUUGCGCAAUGGGCGAAAGCCUGACGCAGCCACGCCGCGUGAGUGAUGAAGGCCUUCGGGUUGUAAAGCUCUGUCGGGAGGGACGAAAGGGGCAACCCUUGACGGUACCUCGCAAGAAAGCACCGGCUAACUCUGUGCCAGCAGCCGCGGUAAUACAGAGGGUGCAAGCGUUGCUCGGAAUUACUGGGCGUAAAGCGUACGCAGACGGUAAGAAAGGUCGGAUGUGAAAGCCCCGGGCUCAACCCUGGAACUGCAUCCGAAACCAUCUUGCUAGAGUAUGGGAGAGGGAAGCGGAAUUCCUGGUGUAGAGGUGAAAUUCGUAGAUAUCAGGAGGAACACCGGCGGCGAAGGCGGCUUCCUGGCCCAUUACUGACGUUCAGGUACGAAAGCGUGGGUAGCAAACAGGAUUAGAUACCCUGGUAGUCC